GCUGCCUUCUUCCUCGGUUACAAGUAUUUCUGUUUUGAUUCUGUUGAGUGAUUUUUUCUCUUGUUUUGAAUACAAGCAGUGACAUUUUCGGCUAAAUCAUUCUCUUGUUUUGAAUACAAGUAUUUUCAGCUACAAGCAGUGACAUUUUCGGCUACAAUUUCAUCUUGUUUUUUCUAUUUCUGUUGCUCUUUGUUUUGAAUGAUUUAUUCUAUAUUUUGAAUGAUUUAUUCUCUGUUUGAAAAAUUUUUAAUUAAAGAAGUUUCUCUAUGUGGCUACCUUUAACAUUCCAUUGUGUUUUCAUUAAAGAAUUUAAUUAAAGAAGUUUCUCGCUGCGGCUAUCUUUAACAUUCCAUUGUGUUUUCAUUAAAGAAGUACACUCCUUAAUUGUGUUUUCAUUCGAUUUUGUAUAGAUGACAGAAGUUGAAAGUAGAGCAAGUGAGGUAGGUUCAUCUGAAAGCGAACCUACUUCUUCACCUACAAAUUCAGUUAGUCAAGACCCAAAAAAAAAAAUCUGUACAAACUAGAUCACUUGCUUGGGAUCAUUUUGAAAAGUUUAAAGAUUUUAAUGGAGAUGAUAGAGCAAAGUGUAAAUAUUGUAGUCGUGAUUAUAAGGCUAAUUCACGAUUGAAUGGAACAACAUCAUUGAAUACUCAUUUAAAGAAGUGUCCAAAAAUACCACGAAAAGUUGAUAAUACUCAAACACAAUUGUGUUUUCAAACGGAUGGGCAAAUUAAUGGUGGGGUGCUUUGGAAAUUUGAUCAAGAACUAGUUAGGAGGGCUUUAGUUGAGAUGGUAAUUAUGGAGGAAUUACCUUUUAGCUUUGUUGAAAAGAAAGGCUUUAAAAAGUUUAUGAGCAUAGCCCAACCUCAAUUUAAUGUUCCUUCUCGUAGGACAAUUUUCAAGGGAUUGUUUCCAAGUUUACAAUGAAGAGAGGCUUAAACUAAUGAAAAAUUUUAGAGAUGUAAAACCAAGAAUUUGCCUUACCACAGACACAUGGACUUCGUUAUAAAGAAUUAACUAUAUGUGUUUGACGGGUCAUUUUAUUGAUAGAGAUUGGUUGUUGCAUAAAAGAAUACUAAAUUUUUGCCCUAUCUCUAGUCAUAAGGGUGACGAAAUAGCAAAGGUUAUUGGUAAUUGUUUGCUUGAAUGGAAAUUGGAUAAGGUAUUCACUGUUACCAUUAAUAAUGCCUUUUCAAAUGAUGUCAUGGUUAAAGAAUUGUCUAAACAACUAGAUAUGAGGAAAACUAAUUCGAUGGGUGGCAACCAUCUUCAUGUGAGAUGCGUGGCUCACAUACUUAAUCUAAUUGUGCAAGAUGGUUUGAAGAAAAUUGAUAUUUCUGUAAAAUGUGUUGGACAAGCUGUUAGGUAUGUGAGAUCAUCUCCACAAAGGACCUUAAAGUUUAGGGAAUGUUGUGCACAUCAAGAGGUAGAAUACACAUAAAAUACAUGAAAUACAUAUAUAUAUAUANNNNNNNNNNNNNNNNNNNNNNNNNNNNNNNNNNNNNNNNNNNNNNNNNNNNNNNNNNNNNNNNNNNNNNNNNNNNNNNNNNNNNNNNNNNNNNNNNNNNNNNNNNNNNNNNNNUAUAUAUAUAUAUAUAUAUAUAUAUAUAUGUAUAUACACAACUAUAAGAAGUUAAUAACCACUAAAUAAUAGUCAUUUAUGAAUAUUUCUCAAAAAAAUUCGGGCUGACUUGAUAGAAGGCCCUAUGAGUUUCAAAUCGCUAGCCCAAACUUGUCUGGCGGAUUGGAUCAACAAUAAGUAAAAAUAAUACCAGGUAACCACUCGUAUGCUAUUUAGGAAUCAAUUAGUGUAUUCUGAAUCUUAAAUUUUCAGUUUAAAAUUUUAAAAUAAAAAUAUUCUAAAAUUAAAAUUUAUAAUUUACAAUUUCAAAAUAAAAUAAAUAUUAAUUAAUCUCAAAAUAGCAUCCUAGAGAUGUUGUGUGUGCACUUGCCCCCGAUAAUACUAUUAUUGGCUUAUUCUUCAAACCCAAAUUUGAAAAGAUUUAUCAGCCCAUUAAUUUGCGUAAGAAUCUCGUCUUGGGUCAGGUUGUCGCAUUUCUCCCUCAACGUCGAUCUCUCUAGAAUCUCCUUCUUCCGUCGGCGAACUCAUUCCGAUCUCUUUCUCUGGCGAAUUCCACUCGUAAGAAACUCUCCAAUCUCUCUUCUGUUCCAAUAUUCUUUUCUUUUGUAAUUAAACUGAUUCUAUAAUCAAAUUUUCUUCCCGUAUUGUUUUAAAUUUAAGCUGGCAUUACAUGCUGAUUGCUUGUAUGAAAAAUCAGUGUAGUAAUUAAUACAAUAAAAAGGUAGAACCUUUAUCAUUGUUUUAUGGGUCCUGCUCUUGCAUCACUUUAGUGGAACUUUGCGACUAUCAAGUCAUUUUUCCAUUCUUGCUAAUUAUAUUAAAAUUCCAGGUUUCAUUUUUUUCUUCUCACGGGCCAUAAGAUCAAGGUUAGUUUGUUAGAUUACUUGAAAAUCAAUAUCUCUAUUAAAAGUAACUAAUAACUCGCAAUUAUUAGUUUCUUUUUCCUUGGAAGGAGCAAUUGAUAGGAACAUGUUGCUGUCGAGAAUUGUGGUAGAAGGUUAGUAGGCAGUCGUGUGUGUGUCUUUCCCGUACCAGUAGGAUUAGUUUUUAACCUUGUAUGUGAU
rnacentral:lncRNA from 1 species